AACGAACGCUGGCGGCAUGCCUAACACAUGCAAGUCGAACGAGAUCUUCGGGUCUAGUGGCGCACGGGUGCGUAACGCGUGGGAAUCUGCCCUUUGGUUCGGAAUAACAGUUGGAAACGACUGCUAAUACCGGAUGAUGACGAAAGUCCAAAGAUUUAUCGCCAGAGGAUGAGCCCGCGUAGGAUUAGCUAGUUGGUGUGGAAAAGGCGCACCAAGGCGACGAUCCUUAGCUGGUCUGAGAGGAUGGUCAGCCACACUGGGACUGAGACACGGCCCAGACUCCUACGGGAGGCAGCAGUGGGGAAUAUUGGACAAUGGGCGAAAGCCUGAUCCAGCAAUGCCGCGUGAGUGAUGAAGGCCUUAGGGUUGUAAAGCUCUUUUACCCGGGAUGAUAAUGACAGUACCGGGAGAAUAAGCUCCGGCUAACUCCGUGCCAGCCGCCGCAGUAA
rnacentral:rRNA from 1 species